rnacentral:rRNA from 1 species
UAUGUCCUACGGGAGGCAGCAGUGAGGAAUAUUGGUCAAUGGGCGGGAGCCUGAACCAGCCAAGUCGCGUGAGGGAAGACGGUCCUAUGGAUUGUAAACCUCUUUUGUCGGGGAGCAAAGAGAUCACGUGUGGUCAAAAGCGAGAGUACCCGAAGAAAAAGCAUCGGCUAACUCCGUGCCAGCAGCCGCGGUAAUACGGAGGAUGCGAGCGUUAUCCGGAUUUAUUGGGUUUAAAGGGUGCGUAGGCGGAAUGCCAAGUCAGCGGUAAAAUCGCGGGGCUCAACCUCGCUCCGCCGUUGAAACUG